UGCCUGAUUUUUAGCUGUCCAAAAAACUGUUUCCGAUCAGAUUUUUUUCGAUGUCAUAAUAAUCGUAUCGAAAUUCUGGUUCGUUUCAUAUAAUUGUUUUUAGAUAUCUUGAUUUCGGAGCACUCCCUCCAAUCCAUUCGGUUACUCAUAAUUGUACCGAAAAUCAAGUUAAACCCCUAAUCUUUUGAAUAUUUCAAUUACACUUCCAAAUAAAACUACACUUAAAACCAUAUGAAAUUAUCUUCAUUCCACCAUUGAAAAUUGACAAAAAAAAAAAAAGAAAUUUCUUUUUUCGACGAAAGUCGGGAAAAAUGAAGAAAUUACGCUUACGUCCUAUUGUUCGAUUUGAUCGCUAGUACUUUUGUUUCAACAUUAAACAACCAAAAGGUUGUUCUAAUAACUAAAUUAAAGUGUAUUUUGAGUUCAAUUGACUUUUUGUGAACGAAUUACGACGAUUCGUCUUUUCGGCCUGAUUUUUAGCUGCACAAAAAACUGUUUCCGAUCAGAUUUUUUUCGAUGUCAUAAUAAUCGUAUCGAAAUUCUGGUUCGUUUCAUAUAAUUGUUUUUAGAUAUCUUGAUUUCGGAGCACUCCCUCCAAUCCAUUCGAUUACUCAUAAUUGUACCGAAAAUCAAGUUAAAUCCCUAUUAUUUUGAAUAUUUCAAUUACACUUACAAAUAAAACUACACUCAAAAGCAUAUGAAAUUAUCUUCAUUCCACCAUUGAAAAUUGACCAAAAAAAAAAAAGAAAUUUCGUUUUUCGACCAAAGUCGGGAAAAAUGAAGAAAUUACGCUUACGUCCUAUUGUUCGAUUUGAUCGCUAGUACUUUUGUUUCAACAUUAAACAACUAAAAGGUUGUUCUAAUAACUAAAUUAAAGUGUAUUUUGUGUUCAAUUGACUUUUUGUGAACGAAUUACGACGAUUCGUCUUUUCGGCCUGAUUUUUAGCUGCACAAAAAACUGUUUCCGAUCAGAUUUUUUUCGAUGUCAUAAUAAUCGUAUCGAAAUUCUGGUUCGUUUCAUAUAAUUGUUUUUAGAUAUCUUGAUUUCGGAGCACUCCCUCCAAUCCAUUCGGUUACUCAUAAUUGUACCGAAAAUCAAGUUAAACCCCUAAUCUUUUGAAUAUUUCAAUUACACUUCCAAAUAAAACUACACUUAAAACCAUAUGAAAUUAUCUUCAUUCCACCAUUGAAAAUUGACAAAAAAAAAAGAAAUUUCUUUUUUCGACGAAAGUCGGGAAAAAUGAAGAAAUUACGCUUACGUCCUAUUGUUCGAUUUGAUCGCUAGUACUUUUGUUUCAACAUUAAACAACUAAAAGGUUGUUCUAAUAACUGAAUUAAAGUGUAUUUUGAGUUCAAUUGACUUUUUGUGAACGAAUUACGACGAUUCGUCUUUUCGGCCUGAUUUUUAGCUGCACAAAAAACUGUUUCCGAUCAGAUUUUUUUCGAUGUCAUAAUAAUCGUAUCGAAAUUCUGGUUCGUUUCAUAUAAUUGUUUUUAGAUAUCUUGAUUUCGGAGCACUCCCUCCAAUCCAUUCGUUACUCAUAAUUGUACCGAAAAUCAAGUUAAACCCCUAAUCUUUUGAAUAUUUCAAUUACACUUCCAAAUAAAACUACACUUAAAACCAUAUGAAAUUAUCUUCAUUCCACCAUUGAAAAUUGACCAAAAAAAAAAAGAAAUUUCUUUUUUCGACCAAAGUCGGGAAAAAUGAAGAAAUUACGCUUACGUCCUAUUGUUCGAUUUGAUCGCUAGUACUUUUGUUUCAACAUUAAACAACCAAAAGCUUGUUCUAAUAACUAAAUUAAAGUGUAUUUUGAGUUCAAUUGACUUUUUGUGAACGAAUUACGACGAUUCGUCUUUUCGGCCUGAUUUUUAGCUGCACAAAAAAUUGUUUCCGAUCAGAUUUUUUUCGAUGUCAUAAUAAUCGUAUCGAAAUUCUGGUUCGUUUCAUAUAAUUGUUUUUAGAUAUCUUGAUUUCGGAGCACUCCCUCCAAUCCAUUCCGUUACUCAUAAUUGUACCGAAAAUCAAGUUAAACCCCUAAUCUUUUGAAUAUUUCAAUUACACUUCCAAAUAAAACUACACUUAAAACCAUAUGAAAUUAUCUUCAUUCCACCAUUGAAAAUUGACAAAAAAAAAAGAAAUUUCUUUUUUCGACGAAAGUCGGGAAAAAUGAAGAAAUUACGCUUACGUCCUAUUGUUCGAUUUGAUCGCUAGUACUUUUGUUUCAACAUUAAACAACUAAAAGGUUGUUCUAAUAACUAAAUUAAAGUGUAUUUUGAGUUCAAUUGACUUUUUGUGAACGAAUUACGACGAUUCGUCUUUUCGGCCUGAUUUUUAGCUGCACAAAAAACUGUUUCCGAUCAGAUUUUUUUCGAUGUCAUAAUAAUCGUAUCGAAAUUCUGGUUCGUUUCAUAUAAUUGUUUUUAGAUAUCUUGAUUUCGGAGCACUCCCUCCAAUCCAUUCGGUUACUCAUAAUUGUACCGAAAAUCAAGUUAAACCCCUAAUCUUUUGAAUAUUUCAAUUACACUUCCAAAUAAAACUACACUUAAAACCAUAUGAAAUUAUCUUCAUUCCACCAUUGAAAAUUGACAAAAAAAAAAAGAAAUUUCUUUUUUCGACGAAAGUCGGGAAAAAUGAAGAAAUUACGCUUACGUCCUAUUGUUCGAUUUGAUCGCUAGUACUUUUGUUUCAACAUUAAACAACCAAAAGGUUGUUCUAAUAACUAAAUUAAAGUGUAUUUUGAGUUCAAUUGACUUUUUGUGAACGAAUUACGACGAUUCGUCUUUUCGGCCUGAUUUUUAGCUGCACAAAAAACUGUUUCCGAUCAGAUUUUUUUCGAUGUCAUAAUAAUCGUAUCGAAAUUCUGGUUCGUUUCAUAUAAUUGUUUUUAGAUAUCUUGAUUUCGGAGCACUCCCUCCAAUCCAUUCGGUUACUCAUAAUUGUACCGAAAAUCAAGUUAAACCCCUAAUCUUUUGAAUAUUUCAAUUACACUUCCAAAUAAAACUACACUUAAAACCAUAUGAAAUUAUCUUCAUUCCACCAUUGAAAAUUGACAAAAAAAAAAAAGAAAUUUCUUUUUUCGACCAAAGUCGGGAAAAAAGAAGAAAUUACGCUUACGUCCUAUUGUUCGAUUUGAUCGCUAGUACUUUUGUUUCAACAUUAAACAACCAAAAGGUUGUUCUAAUAACUAAAUUAAAGUGUAUUUUGAGUUCAAUUGACUUUUUGUGAACGAAUUACGACGAUUCGUCUUUUCGGCCUGAUUUUUAGCUGCACAAAAAACUGUUUCCGAUCAGAUUUUUUUCGAUGUCAUAAUAAUCGUAUCGAAAUUCUGGUUCGUUUCAUAUAAUUGUUUUUAGAUAUCUUGAUUUCGGAGCACUCCCUCCAAUCCAUUCGUUACUCAUAAUUGUACCGAAAAUCAAGUUAAACCCCUAAUCUUUUGAAUAUUUCAAUUACACUUCCAAAUAAAACUACACUUAAAACCAUAUGAAAUUAUCUUCAUUCCACCAUUGAAAAUUGACAAAAAAAAAAAAGAAAUUUCUUUUUUCGACCAAAGUCGGGAAAAAUGAAGAAAUUACGCUUACGUCCUAUUGUUCGAUUUGAUCGCUAGUACUUUUGUUUCAACAUUAAACAACCAAAAGGUUGUUCUAAUAACUAAAUUAAAGUGUAUUUUGAGUUCAAUUGACUUUUUGUGAACGAAUUACGACGAUUCGACUUUUCGGCCUGAUUUUUAGCUGCACAAAAAACUGUUUCCGAUCAGAUUUUUUUCGAUGUCAUAAUAAUCGUAUCGAAAUUCUGGUUCGUUUCAUAUAAUUGUUUUUAGAUAUCUUGAUUUCGGAGCACUCCCUCCAAUCCAUUCGGUUACUCAUAAUUGUACCGAAAAUCAAGUUAAACCCCUAAUCUUUUGAAUAUUUCAAUUACACUUCCAAAUAAAACUACACUUAAAACCAUAUGAAAUUAUCUUCAUUCCACCAUUGAAAAUUGACAAAAAAAAAAGAAAUUUUUUUUUUCGACCAAAGUCGGGAAAAAUGAAGAAAUUACGCUUACGUCCUAUUGUUCGAUUUGAUCGCUAGUACUUUUGUUUCAACAUUAAACAACCAAAAGGUUGUUCUAAUAACUAAAUUAAAGUGUAUUUUGAGUUCAAUUGACUUUUUGUGAACGAAUUACGACGAUUCGACUUUUCGGCCUGAUUUUUAGCUGCACAAAAAACUGUUUCCGAUCAGAUUUUUUUCGAUGUCAUAAUAAUCGUAUCGAAAUUCUGGUUCGUUUCAUAUAAUUGUUUUUAGAUAUCUUGAUUUCGGAGCACUCCCUCCAAUCCAUUCGGUUACUCAUAAUUGUACCGAAAAUCAAGUUAAACCCCUAAUCUUUUGAAUAUUUCAAUUACACUUCCAAAUAAAACUACACUUAAAACCAUAUGAAAUUAUCUUCAUUCCACCAUUGAAAAUUGACAAAAAAAAAAAGAAAUUUUUUUUUCGACCAAAGUCGGGAAAAAUGAAGAAAUUACGCUUACGUCCUAUUGUUCGAUUUGAUCGCUAGUACUUUUGUUUCAACAUUAAACAACCAAAAGGUUGUUCUAAUAACUAAAUUAAAGUGUAUUUUGAGUUCAAUUGACUUUUUGUGAACGAAUUACGACGAUUCGUCUUUUCGGCCUGAUUUUAGCUGCACAAAAAACUGUUUCCGAUCAGAUUUUUUUCGAUGUCAUAAUAAUCGUAUCGAAAUUCUGGUUCGUUUCAUAUAAUUGUUUUUAGAUAUCUUGAUUUCGGAGCACUCCCUCCAAUCCAUUCGGUUACUCAUAAUUGUACCGAAAAUCAAGUUAAACCCCUAAUCUUUUGAAUAUUUCAAUUACACUUCCAAAUAAAACUACACUUAAAACCAUAUGAAAUUAUCUUCAUUCCACCAUUGAAAAUUGACAAAAAAAAAAGAAAUUUUUUUUUCGACCAAAGUCGGGAAAAAUGAAGAAAUUACGCUUACGUCCUAUUGUUCGAUUUGAUCGCUAGUACUUUUGUUUCAACAUUAAACAACCAAAAGGUUGUUCUAAUAACUAAAUUAAAGUGUAUUUUGAGUUCAAUUGACUUUUUGUGAACGAAUUACGACGAUUCGACUUUUCGGCCUGAUUUUUAGCUGCACAAAAAACUGUUUCCGAUCAGAUUUUUUUCGAUGUCAUAAUAAUCGUAUCGAAAUUCUGGUUCGUUUCAUAUAAUUGUUUUUAGAUAUCUUGAUUUCGGAGCACUCCCUCCAAUCCAUUCGGUUACUCAUAAUUGUACCGAAAAUCAAGUUAAACCCCUAAUCUUUUGAAUAUUUCAAUUACACUUCCAAAUAAAACUACACUUAAAACCAUAUGAAAUUAUCUUCAUUCCACCAUUGAAAAUUGACAAAAAAAAAAAAGAAAUUUUUUUUUCGACCAAAGUCGGGAAAAAUGAAGAAAUUACGCUUACGUCCUAUUGUUCGAUUUGAUCGCUAGUACUUUUGUUUCAACAUUAAACAACCAAAAGGUUGUUCUAAUAACUAAAUUAAAGUGUAUUUUGAGUUCAAUUGACUUUUUGUGAACGAAUUACGACGAUUCGACUUUUCGGCCUGAUUUUUAGCUGCACAAAAAACUGUUUCCGAUCAGAUUUUUUUCGAUGUCAUAAUAAUCGUAUCGAAAUUCUGGUUCGUUUCAUAUAAUUUUUUUUAGAUAUCUUGAUUUCGGAGCACUCCCUCCAAUCCAUUCGGUUACUCAUAAUUGUACCGAAAAUCAAGUUAAACCCCUAAUCUUUUGAAUAUUUCAAUUACACUUCCAAAUAAAACUACACUUAAAACCAUAUGAAAUUAUCUUCAUUCCACCAUUGAAAAUUGACAAAAAAAAAAAGAAAUUUUUUUUUUCGACCAAAGUCGGGAAAAAUGAAGAAAUUACGCUUACGUCCUAUUGUUCGAUUUGAUCGCUAGUACUUUUGUUUCAACAUUAAACAACCAAAAGGUUGUUCUAAUAACUAAAUUAAAGUGUAUUUUGAGUUCAAUUGACUUUUUGUGAACGAAUUACGACGAUUCGACUUUUCGGCCUGAUUUUUAGCUGCACAAAAAACUGUUUCCGAUCAGAUUUUUUUCGAUGUCAUAAUAAUCGUAUCGAAAUUCUGGUUCGUUUCAUAUAAUUGUUUUUAGAUAUCUUGAUUUCGGAGCACUCCCUCCAAUCCAUUCGGUUACUCAUAAUUGUACCGAAAAUCAAGUUAAACCCCUAAUCUUUUGAAUAUUUCAAUUACACUUCCAAAUAAAACUACACUUAAAACCAUAUGAAAUUAUCUUCAUUCCACCAUUGAAAAUUGACAAAAAAAAAAAGAAAUUUUUUUUUCGACCAAAGUCGGGAAAAAUGAAGAAAUUACGCUUACGUCCUAUUGUUCGAUUUGAUCGCUAGUACUUUUGUUUCAACAUUAAACAACCAAAAGGUUGUUCUAAUAACUAAAUUAAAGUGUAUUUUGAGUUCAAUUGACUUUUUGUGAACGAAUUACGACGAUUCGACUUUUCGGCCUGAUUUUUAGCUGCACAAAAAACUGUUUCCGAUCAGAUUUUUUUCGAUGUCAUAAUAAUCGUAUCGAAAUUCUGGUUCGUUUCAUAUAAUUUUUUUAGAUAUCUUGAUUUCGGAGCACUCCCUCCAAUCCAUUCGGUUACUCAUAAUUGUACCGAAAAUCAAGUUAAACCCCUAAUCUUUUGAAUAUUUCAAUUACACUUCCAAAUAAAACUACACUUAAAACCAUAUGAAAUUAUCUUCAUUCCACCAUUGAAAAUUGACAAAAAAAAAAAGAAAUUUCUUUUUUCGACCAAAGUCGGGAAAAAUGAAGAAAUUACGCUUACGUCCUAUUGUUCGAUUUGAUCGCUAGUACUUUUGUUUCAACAUUAAACAACCAAAAGGUUGUUCUAAUAACUAAAUUAAAGUGUAUUUUGAGUUCAAUUGACUUUUUGUGAACGAAUUACGACGAUUCGACUUUUCGGCCUGAUUUUUAGCUGCACAAAAAACUGUUUCCGAUCAGAUUUUUUUCGAUGUCAUAAUAAUCGUAUCGAAAUUCUGGUUCGUUUCAUAUAAUUGUUUUUAGAUAUCUUGAUUUCGGAGCACUCCCUCCAAUCCAUUCGGUUACUCAUAAUUGUACCGAAAAUCAAGUUAAACCCCUAAUCUUUUGAAUAUUUCAAUUACACUUCCAAAUAAAACUACACUUAAAACCAUAUGAAAUUAUCUUCAUUCCACCAUUGAAAAUUGACAAAAAAAAAAAGAAAUUUUUUUUUCGACCAAAGUCGGGAAAAAUGAAGAAAUUACGCUUACGUCCUAUUGUUCGAUUUGAUCGCUAGUACUUUUGUUUCAACAUUAAACAACCAAAAGGUUGUUCUAAUAACUAAAUUAAAGUGUAUUUUGAGUUCAAUUGACUUUUUGUGAACGAAUUACGACGAUUCGACUUUUCGGCCUGAUUUUUAGCUGCACAAAAAACUGUUUCCGAUCAGAUUUUUUUCGAUGUCAUAAUAAUCGUAUCGAAAUUCUGGUUCGUUUCAUAUAAUUGUUUUUAGAUAUCUUGAUUUCGGAGCACUCCCUCCAAUCCAUUCGGUUACUCAUAAUUGUACCGAAAAUCAAGUUAAACCCCUAAUCUUUUGAAUAUUUCAAUUACACUUCCAAAUAAAACUACACUUAAAACCAUAUGAAAUUAUCUUCAUUCCACCAUUGAAAAUUGACAAAAAAAAAAGAAAUUUCUUUUUUCGACCAAAGUCGGGAAAAAUGAAGAAAUUACGCUUACGUCCUAUUGUUCGAUUUGAUCGCUAGUACUUUUGUUUCAACAUUAAACAACCAAAAGGUUGUUCUAAUAACUAAAUUAAAGUGUAUUUUGAGUUCAAUUGACUUUUUGUGAACGAAUUACGACGAUUCGACUUUUCGGCCUGAUUUUUAGCUGCACAAAAAACUGUUUCCGAUCAGAUUUUUUUCGAUGUCAUAAUAAUCGUAUCGAAAUUCUGGUUCGUUUCAUAUAAUUGUUUUUAGAUAUCUUGAUUUCGGAGCACUCCCUCCAAUCCAUUCGGUUACUCAUAAUUGUACCGAAAAUCAAGUUAAACCCCUAAUCUUUUGAAUAUUUCAAUUACACUUCCAAAUAAAACUACACUUAAAACCAUAUGAAAUUAUCUUCAUUCCACCAUUGAAAAUUGACAAAAAAAAAAAAGAAAUUUCUUUUUUCGACCAAAGUCGGGAAAAAUGAAGAAAUUACGCUUACGUCCUAUUGUUCGAUUUGAUCGCUAGUACUUUUGUUUCAACAUUAAACAACCAAAAGGUUGUUCUAAUAACUAAAUUAAAGUGUAUUUUGAGUUCAAUUGACUUUUUGUGAACGAAUUACGACGAUUCGACUUUUCGGCCUGAUUUUUAGCUGCACAAAAAACUGUUUCCGAUCAGAUUUUUUUCGAUGUCAUAAUAAUCGUAUCGAAAUUCUGGUUCGUUUCAUAUAAUUUUUUUUAGAUAUCUUGAUUUCGGAGCACUCCCUCCAAUCCAUUCGGUUACUCAUAAUUGUACCGAAAAUCAAGUUAAACCCCUAAUCUUUUGAAUAUUUCAAUUACACUUCCAAAUAAAACUACACUUAAAACCAUAUGAAAUUAUCUUCAUUCCACCAUUGAAAAUUGACAAAAAAAAAAAGAAAUUUCUUUUUUCGACCAAAGUCGGGAAAAAUGAAGAAAUUACGCUUACGUCCUAUUGUUCGAUUUGAUCGCUAGUACUUUUGUUUCAACAUUAAACAACCAAAAGGUUGUUCUAAUAACUAAAUUAAAGUGUAUUUUGAGUUCAAUUGACUUUUUGUGAACGAAUUACGACGAUUCGACUUUUCGGCCUGAUUUUUAGCUGCACAAAAAACUGUUUCCGAUCAGAUUUUUUUCGAUGUCAUAAUAAUCGUAUCGAAAUUCUGGUUCGUUUCAUAUAAUUGUUUUUAGAUAUCUUGAUUUCGGAGCACUCCCUCCAAUCCAUUCGGUUACUCAUAAUUGUACCGAAAAUCAAGUUAAACCCCUAAUCUUUUGAAUAUUUCAAUUACACUUCCAAAUAAAACUACACUUAAAACCAUAUGAAAUUAUCUUCAUUCCACCAUUGAAAAUUGACAAAAAAAAAAGAAAUUUCUUUUUUCGACCAAAGUCGGGAAAAAUGAAGAAAUUACGCUUACGUCCUAUUGUUCGAUUUGAUCGCUAGUACUUUUGUUUCAACAUUAAACAACCAAAAGGUUGUUCUAAUAACUAAAUUAAAGUGUAUUUUGAGUUCAAUUGACUUUUUGUGAACGAAUUACGACGAUUCGACUUUUCGGCCUGAUUUUUAGCUGCACAAAAAACUGUUUCCGAUCAGAUUUUUUUCGAUGUCAUAAUAAUCGUAUCGAAAUUCUGGUUCGUUUCAUAUAAUUUUUUUUAGAUAUCUUGAUUUCGGAGCACUCCCUCCAAUCCAUUCGGUUACUCAUAAUUGUACCGAAAAUCAAGUUAAACCCCUAAUCUUUUGAAUAUUUCAAUUACACUUCCAAAUAAAACUACACUUAAAACCAUAUGAAAUUAUCUUCAUUCCACCAUUGAAAAUUGACAAAAAAAAAAAAGAAAUUUCUUUUUUCGACCAAAGUCGGGAAAAAUGAAGAAAUUACGCUUACGUCCUAUUGUUCGAUUUGAUCGCUAGUACUUUUGUUUCAACAUUAAACAACCAAAAGGUUGUUCUAAUAACUAAAUUAAAGUGUAUUUUGUGUUCAAUUGACUUUUUGUGAACGAAUUACGACGAUUCGACUUUUCGGCCUGAUUUUUAGCUGCACAAAAAACUGUUUCCGAUCAGAUUUUUUUCGAUGUCAUAAUAAUCGUAUCGAAAUUCUGGUUCGUUUCAUAUAAUUGUUUUUAGAUAUCUUGAUUUCGGAGCACUCCCUCCAAUCCAUUCGGUUACUCAUUAUUGUACAGAAAAUCAAGUUAAACCCCUAAUUUUUUGAAUAUUUCAAUUACACUUCCAAAUAAAACUACACUUAAAACCAUAUGAAAUUAUCUUCAUUCCACCAUUGAAUAUUGACAAAAAAAAAAU